UGCGGCCGCGAUACCGGUUGAUCCUGCCGGACCCGACCGCUAUCGGGGUGGGGCUAAGCCAUGGAAGUCGCACGUCCACCAAGUGGUGGACGUGGCGGACGGCUGAGUAACACGUGGCUAACCUACCCUCAGG
rnacentral:rRNA from 1 species